AUCUGAGUAGAGGUGCUUCUCUCUGGGAUUUUUCAGUAAGCCCUUGCCUCUGGAACAGGGUUAAGAGUGGAUGAAGAAGGGGGCCCAGGCUACAUCUGUAUCAGUGAAGGAUAUAAGCCCUCUUGCUUAUCUGCUGGAUGAAAUCAAGACAGACCAGAGCCUAAAAAUCCAAAAGUCUGCAUUGCCACUGUCAGAGAGAAAAAUGAUACAUCACUUCUGAUGGAGAAGCUGGAGGAAUGAAGCUUUUUUCUGUCCUUGUGAGAUGCUGAGCAAGCACUCAAAGUGUCCUAAAAUGACGGCUGUGUGUCUGCACUCUACCCAAGGUGCAGAAUGAGGGUGAAGGUGACUGACAGCAAGGAACAGAAACAUUAAAGGAAACACAAAAGGAUCCAACCCUGCUUUAUGCUCAUCUACCCCUAUAUCAUCCUAGCCUGAAAUAGGUGGAUCCGGACUUUUGCUGGACUGCUCUUCAAAUGGUUUCGGAGAGUAUUUGUUGACAUGGAUGGAUUGGAUACAGAAAACGAUCAUGCACAUCUGAAUGUCCUGGAACAAUAUGAGGUCUUUUUAUUCAGUGUAUCAGAGAAAAGAAGAUGCAGCAGAACAUUGCUAUUACUGGACUCCAGCUGUGAACCCUCUGAGAGACUGUGUGAGGAAUGAAUGCCCCUCAGGUCAAGUAGUUUCAUGCACUGGAAAUUUAACUUUGAAGAAAUAAUAUGAGAAAAAAAAGAGAUAAUCUUAAAUCUACCGAGUUUAAAGGGAAGAGAAAAAAAGUUCUGUUCACAUGAUUAACUGUCAUAAGCACAGUGCAUACCAUCAGAGGUGCCAAAGCCCAACUUGAAAGGUUUUAAAUGUUUCAAGCUGUGCAAGCAUGCGUUUCUUCAAACAGGCAGAACUGAUUAUGAUGAUCACAGGCAAAACCUUAGUUAAACAGAGAAUGUGCAAUUUUUGUAAAUCGUUAUACAGUGAUUACUAACUAUUGAAGUAAAUGGCUCAAAUGUUUAUUAGCAAUGGAGUCUUUUUUUUUCCCCUUCUGUAACCCUGCAAAGACAAAGGAAUGUUGCAGGUGAUGAAGAAAACAUUUGUCAUCACCAAAAGAUAUGCAAUGAGUUUGGGGAAAAAUCAAACUUGAUCUAGUGUUCUAGAUUUCAGUAAGUUUGGUAAAAUUGGGAUAGUUUUAAUUCCUGAAUAACUCUUUUCUGACAGUUAAGAGAUUUUCUUUAGAUUUUUUUUACCCCUUUCUUACUUAAAACCCACACAUUCUGAUAGCAGCAAGAAGCUGAAUGAACACAUGCUCCCCACUGUGUUAGGAGAUGUACACACUCCUGAAUUCUUGAUACGUUAUAUGAGUGGACAAACGGAAAAAAAAUGAGAUGUUGAAAUUAAGGAUAGGGUCAUGAAGUCCAUAUUAUAUCUUACAGCUCAUGUUCUUAACUCUAAAAAAAAAUGUUACUUAACUGAACUAUACGUGUUGUCUCUCAGCUAGAGACACCUGAAAGAAGCCUGAUCUUCAAUAAAUGGCUUUCAAGGCAAGAAACAUAUGCAGAAGAGGAUUUAGAAAGGGAGUGGGUUACCCCCCUCUGCAUUAUUGCAUGGUUGUGCUGUUUGAUGGCAAGAGGCCUUUGCACUGCUCUGCAGUAGAUAUACCAGUAUUUUUCCUCCAAGCUCUGUCUCCCCAUCUGGCUCCACACUUGAUUGUGCCUCAGGGCAAGAAAUGAUGUGGUUUCAUUACUUGUUGCUUGGACAACUGCUGGUUACUGCCCACUAUAGACAUAGGGUUUUGUGAUGUCACGGCCCCAUGUCCGACAACCAGACUGGCAUGGUGAAGUCUGUCAUUCCCCAUUGCCCACAUGCUGUCUUAGGAACCGACCUCCAAGAAGCUGCAUCUCAUUACUGGAUAGUGCCGAGCCAUGUUCACAGGCAAUGAUUAAUUCAACAAAUUUGGUGUGCAGAUGUGUAUUGAGAUUACAUUAUUCCAGUGAAAACACCUGGAUGUCCUUAGGAAAUAAAUAUAAUAACACUAGUAUUGAGAAAAAGAAAAAAAAAAAAAGAAUCACUAAGAAUUUCAAAAUUGGGAAACAACUAGAAACCAUAGCUUUUAUAUAUCAAGAACCAGCUUGGUAAACCAGACCCUUUUGUAGUGUUAUCAAAUGCUGACACAUGGGUGACGUGCAUAGUGCAGGUUUCCUGUCCUGCUAAAAUAUUCGGGCAGGGUUUCAUUCAUUGAACCCAGAAAAUCUGAUUCAAAAUUAAAAGUUUUGAUAGAUGCUUUCUAUACCACUACAAAACAAAAAUGUAUCAAAAGAAGUUACACUUGUACGCCCCCUAACUAAGAUGAAAAUGUAAGGGGCAUACUGUUUUGCUUGCUCUCUCAUUUUCUGGCUUUUUUGAUAAGGCAUUGGAGCAUUUGGGCAUAACUCAGUUUCCUUGCUUCUCCCUUAAUAAAAGAUAGUAAUAUUGGAAGAUGCAGUAAAUUCAUGAAACCUAUCCUCAUCUACCAAAAGAAUGAAAGGUCCUGGUAGAUCUCAGUCUCUAACCCAGUGAUUCUACACCAUAAUCACUAAGACUCUACUAUUAAACCACCAUUCAAAAGUCUCAUGGUGGCCUUUUGGUUGAGUUUUGGACCCUUUAUAAAAAUGAAAUUCAGAACUACAAAUGGUCAUUUUUUGUAAAAAGUCAGCAAUAAAAGCUUUUCCUGAACAGUCCCGUUUAGUGUUUCAAACAGGCCAUAUAGAAUGGCAGUGACCAGUACUGACAGGUAUAAAAAAAGAAUUUCACCCCUAAAUCCAUUUUAUAGGAUCUUAUUUGAAAUUUUAAUUAAAAAGAAUAAAACUCUGCAUUCCUAAGCAUUGGCACCAGGUACAGAAUAAUUUUGUGUGUUUUGAGAUUCCAGCUAUAUAUCUUUCAGAAAUCCAUUUGAGAGCAACACAACCUAAUCUCAGUACUCUGAGAUAAUAAAAUCUGGGUGAGGGGAGUGAGUGCUUCCAGCUCUUUUCUGCUGAAACCUCUCAUGGUCCAUUCUAUUUGCAAAAGUGCGAGAUUCCUUUUAAAUCUCCAAUUUCUGUAUUCAGUCAGUAGAACUAAGCUCAUAUAUGAUCUUACGGAACAAAAGAAAAGAAAUGUGAUAUUGUAACAGAGGUACUUUUUUUCUAUUUUGUAUUGCUACAAAGUCCUAUCUUCUCAAGUUCACUGCUGAUAACAUCAACUUAAAUCAGAUAAAACAGGACAACUCAUUCUUUUUCCACAACUUUGGCCUGGCCUGCAAAAUCUUUUCAAUAUAUAUGAUUCCUUCUUUAACUUUCUGAGAUAGUUGUAUAGUUUAAUUUUGUGAUAGAAAAAGAACAUCUUACACUUCAAGGACAACUUCUCUACUCUUCUAAAUUAAUAGGACUAAUCAUCUUUGCUAAAAAUAUAACAGUUCAAAACUUGCAGCAUUUCUUUAAGUAAAAUACAAGAACAAUUUUCACUUUAAGAAGGUAGACAAAGGCAUUAUUUGUACUUAUAAAAUACAACAGAAACCAAGUUGCGCAAGUCUUGCCUACACAAUUGUACCUACAUGUAUAGCUGAUACAUGCUUUCACCAUGUUAUGGUCUUCAGUACCUUUUCAUUCUCUGUAUCUGAAUAGUACAGCACGAUACAAAAGCCACAGCAUCAUUAGUAACAAGAGAUGAACUCAAAUGCUUGCAUAUUUAAACUGCUGCUUGAGCAUUUCAAAAUUGAUAUUUGCUUGUUCAGGAUCCUACUGCAACAAUUUCAGAUGAGGAUUUCAGCAUAAAAUACUGAUUUCAUUCAUUAUAAAACCAGACCAUGACAGAAAUCUCUCACUUAAAUCUAUGCUGAACUUUGGCUUACCUUGAACAAAAUUUAAAUAGCAGUGUCUUUUUUUUUUCCAGGGUAUAUCUAAUUAAUAAAUACAUUCAUUUGAAAAAACGUCACCUCAAGUUCCUCUAGGUCCACCUUUUAAAUAAAGGCCUAUUUUCUCUUCCUGACAUCAUUCGCUGCAAAGACAGAUAGAUUGUGUGCAGAGUUUAUUACGAGAUCGAUCAAGAUAAUUGAGGUAUAAUUUUCUCAGUGAUUUCUGCCAUCAUUUUUAAAGGCAGGGAUGAUUAUGUUUCUCUUUCACCCAUCUGGGAAAACACACAGUGUUCUCAUGUAAUUUGAACGUUUCAGCAAGGAUGUGAGACCAUCUUUCUGCAUGUAACUAAUAGCUCUGCCAUUAGGCCAUCCUCUCCUGAGAAUUCAUUUUUCUUAUUAAUAAUCAUCAACACUAUCUCCUGUUCAGAAAAAAAACAGCCACACCUAGGUCUUUCUUUUCCUCACUGGCGCAACAGCCAAUUUCAGAUUUAAAAUGUGGCUUAUGGUUAUGACGAUUCACGUGCUCCCUGUGAAAAUCUCCACAGAGAAUCCCUUUUUUUUCCCCACUUUUUUAAGAAUGAUUGAUGCAAGUUACUCUGUUGUGGUUUUUUUUAAGGCCAUUUCAAAACUAAACUCCAAGUCCCCUAGUUUUGCUCGAGUAACCACAUGAAAUGUUCUAAUUUACACCAAUUUUUCCAUGCCAUAAUUUAAGUGAAUUAUUCUUAAUUACAUCUAGCCAUUCAGGAGAUCAAGACCCUGACUGUCUGCAAUGUUAUUUUUCUCUUGGUCUUUUUUUUCCCUGUGUACUACUCUGUGUUGGUAACUGUGAUAUCUUCUAUCACAAAAAGCAUUGAUUUUCUCAAAUAAAAUUUCUUUCGUCCAGUAUCAGAUGAAUUUCUGGAUCUGAGAUGGCAAUGCUGAGUUUUACUGUGAUCACCUAUAUUUCAAUCUACUGUAACCAUCAGCUCGCUACCAAGGAAUUUUGUUUCAAUCACUUUCACCCCCUAAAACCCGUAAGGGGUAAGGCUUCAAGGUAAAGUUUUUGCCUCUGCUUAUUACUAAGAUAAAACCAUGACAUCAAAUAUGUUAACAACACAUCCAUGACUGUAUAUUAUUGUCUAAGUAGUUUGUAUUAUUGUUUUGAACCCUGAUUUUGUUUUUCUUCUAUAAGUGGCAGAGAUAAAGCAUUCCUACUGGAUAUAAGACCUGUGAUCCCCAAAGAUGUUUGUGACAUAAGCAUAUUUAAGCUUCAGUAUCCAUCCCUAAGCAACUAUGUCCACAUUAAGCAUUCUUUGCAUUGUAUAUAUACAUACAUAAUCUCUGAUGUACCUUGUGCACCGAAUCCAGUCAUAUUACAAGCAUAAUCAAAUGCAGCUGCUUGCUCUGCACUUAAC